AUUUAAAUUUGAUGGAAAUUUGAAGAAAAACACAAUUUCUACAUCAUGCGGUUACUUUUAUGACAAAAUUUAUGUCCCCACCUGAUCUGAGUCCUAAUCUCCUGACCAAAAUUUCCAAAUCUCCUGAUCUGAGUUUCACAGUCCAUUAAACUGCCACGAAAAUUUCCCUGUUUACAGUAUAUUGAAAUGGAUGGUUGAGGUUCCAACCCACAACCACAUGAUGUUACUGUUUGUAUGUCAAAAUGAUUGUAACGAAUAUAUUGGACUCUAGUCCCCAGUGGUCAUCCCAAUCCUUUGUCAUUUGAUAAUGUGCAAAAUAUUUCCAAAGGGUCAAGAUCCCCAACCCUAUGAAUCCCCUGCCAUUUUAAAAUGUUGUGAAAUGUUUGUAUAACUUAUCAUUUGUACCCACACCCUUAACCAUAUACACUCCUGUGUGUCAUGUAAAAAAUGCUUAAUAGUGUACAUUGUAAGCCCUUUUUUGUCAUUCCUACCCCAAAUAUCUUGUAAUUUUUCAAUAUUUGAACCCUUAGUUCAUAUAUAUUCAUGUCAAGAUGAAUUGAUAAAUGUACAGGGUUAGCCUUUAUGUGUCAUUCCAACCAAUCUUAUUUGAGGAUAUUCUAUUAUCUUACCUCCUAUACAUUUCUAGGAAUAUGGUUGGUUAAAAUUGUCCUCGUGGAAACCGUGUAUAUUUAAUAUUAGGUUAGCUUAUUUCAUACACGGUUAGUAGUGGAGUUACGUCCUUUUAUAUUCCAUAUAAGGUAAUAAGGAGUCUGGGCUUAUUUCAUACACGGUUAGUAGUGGUGCGACGUCCCUUUAGAAAAACAAAACAGUACUGAGAAAAAAUCUUAAAGGUUUCAACAGACGAAGAAAGUGAAAUAAAUUCAUAAAACACAUUUAAAUCUAAAAAGUUGUCAUUGUUGGCAUCUGUUUUUGUAGGAUCAACGGAAGUAGUUUCUUAAUCAUGUUAAUGCUAACUGUAUUGAAGACUUGCUCAUUUUGUUUUAAUUUUACACGUUAAAAUAGGCGGUAAGAUAAAUUCGUUACAUAGUGUGCUAGUGACGUAAUACAGGAUAUAUGGGGUCAGUAAAUUCCAUAUUUGGAUUCCAGCUUCGCUCUCACACCAUAUGGAAUUUACUGACCCACUAGUACACUAUGUAACUAAUAUUAUCUAGAAAAUAGUCAAUUUUCCUUCUAAACCAUACAUUUUACGCAAGAUGAAUUGAAUGAAUAAUAUAGGGAGACCAAAGGGGUUUAUGUUAAUGUGGACCUUGUUUGGGAGGUUUUGUUAUAUCUUUCUGUUACAAUCAUUUCUUGUUUUAUCUGAUGUUGUAAAUAAGCCUUUUUGUUAAUCUUUAUCAUCUUGUUUUUUUAAUGUGGCCAGUAAAUAUUUCAAAUUUCACAGUCAGAUACAUUUAUAUGAUAUGCCAUUCAAUGAAUUUGCUCCUUGUUGAGUCUUAUUUGAAUUUUACAUGUUGUUUUCAAUUAUAUCUUUUUUAAAUAUUUAUUUUAUUAAUAUCGUUGUAGACUAAAGGAGAAGGUAUGGUAACUGUAAUGCCAUUGUUUUGGCACCUAUAAUUUGAAUCAGUUUUAGUAUUGUUGCAUUUUUUCUUACUUAUUUGUUGUUAACUGCAUUAGGUCACACUUCUAAUAAUAAGUGCAAAAAAAACCCUCAUAAACAGUCUCAUUUUGAGUUCUUAUUAUCAACUUUUGAAUACACAAGAGUUUUACUGUAGGUUUUUCGAAAUUCGUGGUCAAACUACAAAAUGAACUAAUGGCUCUAUCAAACCACCUCCAUUUUCAUAUUAUCAUGUUUAUAAACAUAAAAUUUGAAUUUGAUUUUAAUUAUUUUUAUUGUUAUGAAAUCUUUUCUUCUUUUAAAAUACAGAAGUUUAUAUUUUUUUCUAUAUUUUGUUAAUCAACAUGAUCAACUUGCUGAGUUAUCUUAUUUCACAUAUGUACAUAUAUAUUGCAGCAAAUAAUUUGUAAAUAGAAUCUUCAUUUGCAUUAUGACCAAUAUUU
rnacentral:lncRNA from 1 species